rnacentral:rRNA from 1 species
CCAGACUCCUACGGGAGGCAGCAGUGGGGAAUAUUGCACAAUGGGGGAAACCCUGAUGCAGCGACGCCGCGUGAAGGAAGAAGUAUUUCGGUAUGUAAACUUCUAUCAGCAGGGAAGAAAGUGACGGUACCUGACUAAGAAGCCCCGGCUAACUACGUGCCAGCAGCCGCGGUAAUACGUAGGGGGCAAGCGUUAUCCGGAUUUACUGGGUGUAAAGGGAGCGUAGACGGCAGUGCAAGUCUGGAGUGAAAGGCGGGGGCUCAACCCCCGGACUGCUCUGGAAACUGUACGGCUGGAGUGCAAGAGAGGUAAGUGGAAUUCCUAGUGUAGCGGUGAAAUGCGUAGAUAUUAGGAGGAACACCAGUGGCGAAGGCGGCUUACAGGACUGUAACUGACGUUGAGGCUCGAAAGCGUGGGGAGCAAACAGGAUUAGAUACCCCUGUAA